UGUAUAAUAGUGUAAGAAGCACAAUGAAUUUUGAAUUCAUUAGACUAAGUUUAACUCUUAAUUAUACAA
rnacentral:tRNA from 1 species